rnacentral:rRNA from 1 species
AUUGAACGCUGGCGGCAGGCCUAACACAUGCAAGUCGAAAGAGUGGCGGAGGGGUGAGUAAUGUCUGGGGAACUGCCUGAGGGCGGGGGAUAACUACUGAAAACGGUAGCUAAUAGCGCAUAACAGACAAUGUGCCCAGAUGGGAUUAGCUAGUUGGUGGGGUAAAGGCUAACCAAGGAGACGAUCCCUAGCUGGUCUGAGAGGAUGACCAGCCACACUGGAACUGAGACACGGUCCAGACUCCUACGGGAGGCAGCAGUGGGGAAUAUUGCACAAUGGGCGCAAGCCUGAUGCAGCCAUGCCGCGUGUAUGAAGAAGGCCUUCGGGUUGUAAAGUACGUUCAGCGGGGAGGCGUUACCCGCAGAAGAAGCACCGGCUAACUCCGUGCCAGCAGCCGCGGUAAUAC